CUCAACACACAUCUGUGUAUUCAAGUCCCUCUGGUGAAAUAGAGGAGGGCAGUUCAGUGACUCUGAGCUGCAGCAGUGAUGCCAACCCAGCAGCUAACUACACCUGGUUCAAGAACAACCAACCUCUGCUCUGGGAACCAAGUCAACCUCAUACCUUCCCCUCAGUCCGCCCUGAAGACAGAGGAACGUACCGCUGUCACGCAGAGAACAAAUAUGGACAACUGAGCUCUAACUCAAUAUUCAUGGAUGUCCAGUACUUUCCAAAGACCCCCUCAGUGACCGUGAGUCCCUCUGGUGAAAUAGAGUGGGGCAGUUCAGUGACUCUGAGCUGCAGCAGUGAUGCCAACCCAGCAGCUAACUACACCUGGUUCAGGGAACAUGAAGACUCAGUGAAAGAAUCAGGACAGAACUACACCAUCACUAAUAUCACAUCUGAGCAUGGAGGAAACUAUUACUGCCAAGCUCAUAAUGCAAUCGGACUUACUUAUUCCACCUUUUUGUUUAUUAAAGUGAUAUCAUCAUCGCAUAUAGCAAUGGUAGCUGUAACAACCAUUGGUGUCUUUGUGGUCACCAUACUCCUCAUCGUCUUCCUCUUGAUGAGAAGAAAGAGGGCCUCCAGAAAAGAAUGUGGACAGGGAGGAAGGCCAGAUACCGUGGAGGAGGUGAGACACAGGA